GAGGGGGAGGCUACCUAGAUUAAUACUUUAGGAUAGUGGACGUUACUCGCAGAAUAAGCACCGGCUAACUCUGUGCCAGCAGCCGCGGUAAUACAGAGGGUGCGAGCGUUAAUCGGAUUUACUGGGCGUAAAGCGUGCGUAGGCGGCCAAUUAAGUCAAAUGUGAAAUCCCCGAGCUUAACUUGGGAAUUGCAUUCGAUACUGGUUGGCUAGAGUAUGGGAGAGGAUGGUAGAAUUCCAGGUGUAGCGGUGAAAUGCGUAGAGAUCUGGAGGAAUACCGAUGGCGAAGGCAGCCAUCUGGCCUAAUACUGACGCUGAGGUACGAAAGCAUGGGGAGCAAACAGGAUUAGAUACCCUGGUAGUCUAUGUCGUAAACGAUGUCUACUAGCCGUUGGGGCCCUUGAGGCUUUAGUGGCGCAGCUAACGCGAUAAGUAGACCGCCUGGGGAGUACGGUCGCAAGACUAAAACUCAAAUGAAUUGACGGGG
rnacentral:rRNA from 1 species